rnacentral:rRNA from 1 species
CCUACGGGGCGCAGCAGUGGGGAAUAUUGGACAAUGGGCGAAAGCCUGAUCCAGCCAUGCCGCGUGUGUGAAGAAGGCCUUCGGGUUGUAAAGCACUUUCAGUGGGGAAGAAAGCCUUGGGGCUAAUACCCUCGAGGAAGGACAUCACCCACAGAAGAAGCACCGGCUAACUCCGUGCCAGCAGCCGCGGUAAUACGGAGGGUGCGAGCGUUAAUCGGAAUUACUGGGCGUAAAGCGCGCGUAGGCGGUCUGAUAAGCCGGUUGUGAAAGCCCCGGGCUCAACCUGGGAACGGCAUCCGGAACUGUCAGGCUAGAGUGCAGGAGAGGAAGGUAGAAUUCCCGGUGUAGCGGUGAAAUGCGUAGAGAUCGGGAGGAAUACCAGUGGCGAAGGCGGCCUUCUGGACUGACACUGACGCUGAGGUGCGAAAGCGUGGGUAGCAAACAGGAUUAGAUACCCUGGUAUC